UACGUAGGUUGCAAGCGUUGUCCGGAAUUAUUGGGCGUAAAGAGCGUGUAGGCGGCCAUACAGGUCAGCUGUGAAAACUCGAGGCUCAACCUCGAGACGUCGGUUGAAACCGUAUGGCUAGAGUCCGGAAGAGGAGAGUGGAAUUCCCGGUGUAGCGGUGAAAUGCGCAGAUAUCGGGAAGAACACCCGUGGCGAAGGCGGCUCUCUGGGACGGUACUGACGCUGAGACGCGAAAGCGUGGGGAGCGAACAGG
rnacentral:rRNA from 1 species